rnacentral:rRNA from 1 species
UACGUAGGGGGCAAGCGUUGUCCGGAUUUAUUGGGCGUAAAGAGCGUGUAGGCGGCCAUGCAGGUCCGCUGUGAAAACUGGAGGCUUAACCUCCAGACGUCGGUGGAAACCGUAUGGCUAGAGUCCGGAAGAGGAGAGUGGAAUUCCCGGUGUAGCGGUGAAAUGCGCAGAUAUCGGGAAGAACACCCGUGGCGAAGGCGGCUCUCUGGGACGGUACUGACGCUGAGACGCGAAAGCGUGGGGAGCGAACAGG